AGGAAAGCAGGGGAUCGCAAGACCUUGCGCUCUUGGAGCGGCCGAUGUCUGAUUAGCUAGUUGGUGAGGUAAAGGCUUACCAAGGCGACGAUCAGUAGCUGGUCUGAGAGGACGACCAGCCACACUGGGACUGAGACACGGCCCAGACUCCUACGGGAGGCAGCAGUGGGGAAUUUUGGACAAUGGGGGAAACCCUGAUCCAGCCAUGCCGCGUGAGUGAAGAAGGCCUUCGGGUUGUAAAGCUCUUUCAGCCGGAACGAAACGGUCACGGCUAAUACCUGUGAUCACUGACGGUACCGGAAGAAGAAGCACCGGCUAACUACGUGCCAGCAGCCGCGGUAAUACGUAGGGUGCAAGCGUUAAUCGGAAUUACUGGGCGUAAAGCGUGCGCAGGCGGUUUUGUAAGUCAGAUGUGAAAUCCCCGGGCUUAACCUGGGAACUGCGUNUGAAACUACAAAGCU
rnacentral:rRNA from 1 species